AAACAAAAUAAAAAAUUCUAAAUGUGUACUUGUAUCGCUGCUGCGUUCAGGCUACACGACCGAAUUAAAACAGGACAGAGGAUAGGAGAGAGGGUCAGCCAUUUAUCCGGCACCCGACUAAGGCCCAGCGGAGAUUGGAUCUCUGUGUCGGGAAUGGGUAACCAUCUGGUCACACACAGCAUCAGCAAGCAGUUGCCGGCUAUCUGUCUAGAGCUGUGGUAACGCACAAAUUUCCCCACUGUGGGAUCAAUAAAGUCCUAGCCUAUC